UGUUAAAUUUUUUAUUCAUUUGUACUGUUAAAAACUGAAGUGAUUGACAAAAUAAUCAACAACAGGCAUGUGGCGUGCCACAUGUACCACAUGCUGAUGUAUAUUGACCAACUUUAAACAGUAAAAAUGAAUGGAUUUUUUACCA
rfam:Gossypium raimondii Chr01_contig_105, whole genome shotgun sequence.